UAGUGCCUACGGGAGGCAGCAGUGGGGAAUAUUGGGCAAUGGGCGCAAGCCUGACCCAGCAACGCCGCGUGAAGGAAGAGGGCUUUCGGGUUGUAAACUUCUUUUGUCAGGGACGAAGCAAGUGACGGUACCUGACGAAUAAGCCACGGCUAACUACGUGCCAGCAGCCGCGGUAAUACGUAGGUGGCAAGCGUUAUCCGGAUUUAUUGGGUGUAAAGGGCGUGAGGGCGGGAAUGCAAGUCAG
rnacentral:rRNA from 1 species